UGAUUUCAUGUAGUUUAUGGAGAGAAAUGGAGUCGGGGGAAAUGGAGUCGGGGGAAAUGCAACGCUACCAAGCCACGGUCAUGCGGAGCAAUCACAGUUGUUGCAACGUGCUGCUACAACAGCUAC